AUGGCCUCCGAAAUCCAGUUAUUCUUCACCCUAGAGCAGUCCCUAGAGGCCAUUUCAGAUUGUCCCAGAAAUCCAAGGCAGGACUUUCCCCACCUCAAUCCACAUGGAGAAACAGGCUGCGAGAGUCCUCUACCUCUCUUAACCCUAAUGCAAGACUUAACCAACGGUGCUUCCCGCAGGACAGUCAAAGGCCGUAUCACUGCAAUGCGUUCUGCCUGGGGCUGCACCUGAAAUCCAUGUGGAAGCUGGUGGAGAAUGUGGAGACUCGCUGGUUAAGAGGCGUAUCUGGCCGGGGGCAGGUGACAACCAUGUCCUCGGAUCUGCGCUGGCUGCCGAUUGGCUCCAAGUGAAGCUUGAAGUGUUGGUGUUGAUCUAUAUAGCCCUAAGUGGCCAGGGGCCAUCCUGCCUGCGAGACCAUGUCCCCCAUCACCCCAUCUAGCACUGUUUGAGGUCAGCAGAGGCACUCACGCUGGAACUUCCAGGGAGAGGGGGCUGACGGCAGAGGGUUCUCCAGGCACCUUGACUUUGGCAUUCACUUCCCCUCCCUUGAUCCUGCGGAGAUGGAACCUGCUGCCCUUCAGCGCUCACCGUUGUGAACCAGUGUCGUUGGGGCGGGGGCUGAGCGUGCUCGGGGAAUGUCUACACCGGCGGUGGAGGGCUUCAGACGGGAUUGUGCGCUGGGCAACUCGCCCCUCCCGCCACCUGCACUGCUCUUUGUAGUGCACGCUUUGAAUCGGCGCUAGCGCAGAUAUGGAAAUCCCACCUCCAGCUCCAGUGUGGACGUACCUUGGUGGAAACCCAAGGGGUCGGGAGAGUUUGUGCUGCAGUGUUUCCCUGGCUGAUUGGCUGACUGGGGUGGACGGGGGUGGGAGUUUCUGCUGUUCUGGUUUUACUCUCCUGGGUUGUAUUUUGAGUCAAUGGUGGGGUGUCUGCAGCUUGGGAGAGCCCCGGUAUGUGGGCCGAGCUCAGACAAACAAAGGAUGCGGGAUCUGAGCUUAAGUCCAGGGCUCGGCCCUACAUUCUCCAACCCAGCAGAGCUGGCCUCAGACACAAGCAAGGCAAACCCCUGCUCCUUGGCAGCAGACACAAUGACUCACAGGCCAUUUCCCCUUUGACAGUUCAGGCUCCUGCAGGCCGGGAGGAAGGGCAGGGUUUGGGUUGCUGGAGCAGAGCAGGCUGAUGAAAGUAGAGAGGUGGUAGGUUAUGGGAACACGCUCAGUCACGCUGCUCCUUCCGCCGGGGCCCAGGUGGCCACACGCCAUGGGAGGCAGGACCAUGGCGCUUUCCUCAGUUUCUUUUUGCAGCGGCUUGGGGAGAAAAGUGUGCUCUGCCCCCCUCCCUCCCGCGCCAAUAAAGGGCACAUGCUCCUUCCCCAACCCAGCUCCCUAUGGCAGCUUUGCGGGGACAUGUGUAGCCUCAGGCUUCCUCCCCACCCCCAAUAGCUGGAGAACGUCUCUGGGGCUAGACUGACAUCCCUCAGCCUCUCACAGCAGGAGGGUCUUUUCCCCCACAGCUCCCGGGCAGUGCUAAAAGCCCAGAUGCAGGCAGAACCAGGCCCCAUUGCUGCACUGAGCUUGGCCUGGGCAAACUCUCUGCUCACGAGGCACUCAGCGCAGGAGCAGGGCCGUAGGCGGGGCCCAAGGUGCUGCAAUUACAUUCAGCUGCUUCUCCACCAGGCACUUUUCCUCCAUGCUGUCCCGUGUUCAUGGAACACCCUCCCCACACAGGUCCAGGAAGCCAGCACCCUCUCCUCCUAGUCCAAUUGCUGCCAAUGGCAUUUGGAUCACAUCCAGAGGUGGCCUGUCUUGUGCAUGUUCUUGUCAGUGUCACCUUCCCCUGAGUCUAUGUCACAUCUCCUCUUAUAGUAGAUUGGAAGCCCUUUGGGGCCUGGGCUGUUGGCACAGAGUCCAGCACGCUGACUGGGGCUGUUGGGAUCUACAGUGAUGCAAAGAGUAAUCAAAGAAUGAAAACAGCCAGAUCCCAUCUUGCUAGGUCAUCAAUCAACAUUUCACUUUGAUAAAAAAAUCCCCCCUGCACACACACACAUCCCACACACACUCAGAACAGUCCCCCACAGGAACCGCCAGCCUGAAGGACAGUGGGGUUUUAUCUUAUGAGACGAAGUGGGGAUUUUCUCUUGUUACGUUGUAUGUGAGUCUUACUGUUGAGCCUAUGAAAGGUUUCAGAGUAGCAGCCGUGUUAGUCUGUAUCCGCAAAAAGAUAUGCAUCCGAAGAAGUGGGCUGUAGUCCACGAAAGCUUAUGCUCUAAUAAAUUUGUUAGUCUCUAAGGUGC